UGGUACAUACCUCAUCACGGAGUGUAUCACUCGAAGAAGCCAGGGAAAUUGCGCGUGGUUUUUGACUGCUCCGCAAGAUUCAAGGGAACAUGCUUAAACGAUCAUCUUCUUGUAGGCCCUGACCUUAUGAACAGCCUGACUGGCAUUCUUUUGCGGUUCAGACAGUACCCUGUGGCCCUGAUGUGUGAUAUUGAGAGGAUGUUUCACCAGUUCCAUGUUGACAAAGCUGAUCGUGAUUACUUGCGUUUUCUAUGGUGGAGAAAUGGAGAUUUCAACUCACAGCCUCAAACGUUCCGCAUGAGAGUACAUCUGUUUGGUGCCUCAUCGUCCCCCGGAUGUGCUAACUAUGGACUAAAGCAUCUUGCAAGAGAAGGUGAACAUCUGUAUCCCCUAGGUUCACAAUUUAUUAUGCAGGAUUUCUACAUGGAUGAUGGAGUCUCCAGUGUGGAAAGUGCAGAGAAGGCCAUAAAGUUGGCUCAAGAAGCUCGCCAACUUUGUGCAUUAGGAGGCUUAAGGUUGCAUAAAUUGCAUCCAAUGACAAGGCAGUUUUGGAGACAAUACCGCCCUCUGAGUGUGCUGUAGAUGUUACAUCUGUCAAUCUCUCCCUCACUGACCAGUCCUUGGAAAGAGCCCUGGGCAUUUACUGGCAUCUUGAACAUGAUCAUUUCAAAUUUCGUGUCAUUAUUAAAGACCAGUCAGCAACCCGUAGAGGUAUACUGUCUACUGUGGCCUCGUUAUUUGACCCCUUAGGGUUUCUCGCACCAUUCUUGCUCAAAGGAAAGGCUGUUCUUCAAGAAAUGUGCCGAAAUGGCAUGGGCUGGGACGAUCCCUUACCUGAUGAUUUGCAGUUGGGUUGGGAGCACUGGAAGACCGAUCUUCUUAACUUGGAGAAGAUUCAGGUGCCUCGUUGUAUUGUGCCUGCUGCGUUUGGGACAAUCAUGAUGAGAGAGAUUCAUCACUUCUCAGAUGCCAGCAUGAGAGGAUAUGGCCAGUGCUCAUACCUUAGGGUCAAGAAUGAGCAAGGUGACAUCCAUUGUUCUUUGCUCAUGGCUAAAUCUAGAGUAGCCCCGCUUAAGGUCACCACAAUCCCUCGAUUAGAGUUGACUGCUGCAGUUGUGUCAGUUGCAGUGAAUGAUAUGUUGAAGGAAGAAAUGAACCUUGGAGAUGCAGAAGCAUAUUUCUGGACUGACUCUCAAGUAGUGUUAGGUUAUAUAAACAAUGAAGCUCGCCGCUUCCACACGUUUGUCGCGAAUCGAGUUCAGAGAAUUCAUCGCACCACAACUCCUCAGCAGUGGCGAUACAUUCCAUCGGAUGAAAAUCCAGCCGAUUAUGCAUCACGAGGUCUGAGUGUUAAUGAUCUGGUCACUUCCAGCUGGUUCAGAGGACCGGACAUUUUGUGGGAACAGCAAAUACCUUCCCCUGUGGAUGUUAACCCACAACUUCCAAUCGGUGACCCAGAGGUCAAAAAGGCUCAAUCACUUAACACACAAACAUUACAGUAUUCCUGCUUGUCCAACCGUUUCACAAAUAUGUCUUCAUGGUCCAAAGUCAUCCAAGCAGUUGCACGCCUACUUCGUCGUGUCAGGAAGGACAAGUCCAGUGACCACAGUACAGUGGCAGAACGUGAGGAUGCUAAGUGCACCAUAAUUAAGGACUUACAGAGUCAGAUAUAUGCAGAAGAAAUAGCCUUACUCCGUAAGGGCAAACAGCUCCCACGCAGCAGCAGGCUAUACAAUCUAAAUGCCUUUGUUGAUCACAACGGAUUGCUCAAGGUGGGAGGAAGGCUUUGUGAUGCUUCUGCCCCUAACUCUGUUAAACAUCCAGUGUUAAUUCCAAAGGAACAUCACCUUACAAAACUUCUGAUCGCUGAUUGUCAUGAAAAAAACGGCACAUCAAGGGAAGGGCUUGACUAUCAAUGAGAUCAGAUCAAGAGGAUUUUGGAUAACAGGAGUAAACAGGACUGUAGCAUCCUUUAUACGACAGUGUGUGAGAUGUCGCAAGCUUCGCAGACCUACUGAAGAGCAAAAAAUGGCUAACCUGCCCUCAGAGCGCAUAGAUCCAUCCCCUCCAUUCACAUACAGCGGAAUGGAUGUUUUUGAGCCAUCCAUAUUGAGAUGCUGGAUGACAUGUCCACGGACGCCUUUAUCAAUGGUCUACGUUGUUUCAUCGCUAUAAGAGGAGCAGUAAAUCAAAUAAGGUGUGACCAAGGCACUAAUUUCAUUGGAGCCAAGAAUGAGCUCACCAAGGCCAUGGAAGAGAUUGACACCAACCGUCUGGUAGCAUUCUUAGCAGAAAAACAGUGUGACUUUGUCUUUAACGCACCCCAUGCAAGUCACACUGGCGGAGUUUGGGAGAGACAGAUUAGAACUGUGAGAAGUGUUCUUCGUUCCACUCUGUCCCAGUCAUCUGGAAGGUUAGAUGAUUCUUCUCUGCGAACAUUUUUCUAUGAAGCCAUGGCCAUUGUAAAUAGCCGUCCACUCACUGUAGAUAACUUAAGUGAUCCCUGCAGUCCUGAGCCUCUAACCCCUAAUCACCUCCUCACCCUGAAAACUACUCAAGCCUUACCACCCCCUGGGAAGUUUGUCAGAGAAGACCUAUAUGGUCGUAAGAGAUGGCGCCAUGUCCAAUACUUAGCGGAACAGUUUUGGGGACGUUGGCGCAAGGAGUAUGUGUCUAACAUUGCAACAAGACAAUGCUGGCUUUCACCAAGAAGGAACAUGCAAGCUGGAGAUAUAGUCUUGGAGAAAGCAGACAAUCUGCCCAGGAAUGAGUGGCGCUUGGCAGAAGUUAUUGAGACUGUCGUUGACAAAGAUGGUUUGGUGAGAAGAGUAAAGAUACGUUUUGGAGACAGAAAUCUGGGAAAGGAUGGUAAACGUCUGAACAAACCAUCAUUAGUUGAACGUCCAGUGCAGAAGCUGGUCCUGCUGCUGGAGGCACACUGAACAU